rfam:Leifsonia sp. Root4 contig_2, whole genome shotgun sequence.
UGGCACCAUCCAUCACAACGGAUCGUCCGGCACGUACCUGCCGGUGAAGGAGAUACAC